AUUGGACGCUGGCGGCAUGCCUUACACAUGCAAGUCGAACGGUAACAGGUCUUCGGAUGCUGACGAGUGGCGAACGGGUGAGUAAUACAUCGGAACGUGCCUAGUAGUGGGGGAUAACUACUCGAAAGAGUGGCUAAUACCGCAUGAGAUCUACGGAUGAAAGCAGGGGAUCGCAAGACCUUGUGCUACUAGAGCGGCCGAUGGCAGAUUAGGUAGUUGGUGGGAUAAAAGCUUACCAAGCCGACGAUCUGUAGCUGGUCUGAGAGGACGAUCAGCCACACUGGGACUGAGACACGGCCUAGACUCCUACGGGAGGCAGCAGUGGGGAAUUUUGGACAAUGGGCGCAAGCCUGAUUCAGCAAUGCCGCGUGCAGGAUGAAGGCCUUCGGGUUGUAAACUGCUUUUGUACGGAACGAAAAGCCCUGGGUUAAUACCCUGGGGUCAUGACGGUACCGUAAGAAUAAGCACCGGCUAACUACGUGCCAGCAGCCGCGGUAAUAC
rnacentral:rRNA from 1 species